rnacentral:misc_RNA from 1 species
UCUCUCUCUCUCUCUCUCGCUUUCUCUCUGAAGUCCUUGAGAACUUUCAGCUAAUUGAUAAGGCCCUUUCAUGGAUUUUAGAGAUUAACGAGUGAAUUGAAUGAAAAAGAAACGAGUAGUAUUCGUAGCAGGAGAAGUGGAGGAUGUCUUGUUUACUGCCACAGUUUAAGUGCCAACCAGACAGUUUCUCUAUCCAUUUUAGAACUCACUACCAUCACGGUUCCAACUUUACCCAAUCUUGUGAGUUACUCUCUCUUUCUCUCUCAAUUUUCCACUAUUACCUCACUAAUGCCAUUAUUUCAAUCUGAGCUAAAAUGGGCGUGUACUAAUUAUGUGAUUUUUUUUUCUUUUUGGGUUGAUAUUCAAUCACAAAUGCCUUUGUUUGAACCUCAAUUGAACUGGUUGUGCUUCUUUUUUUGCUUUUUUGGUUUGACUUCCAAUCUCAAAUGUGAAAUGCCUUUGUUUCAACCAAAACUAAAACGGGUGUGUUUUGGUUUUGUAUAUCUUGAAUGCUGUUAACUCUAGACGUCUUGCUUUCAUUGAGAACUAGAAUAGUUGUGUCUUUAUGUUUUUUGGUUGAUAUCUAGUCACAAAAAUUUUGCUUCAUCGGAACUAAAGUGUUGUGCUUCGGUUUGGUGUUUUGGAUGCCAUUCAUUUUCAGUUUUCCUUAUUUCAAUAAGAAUCGUGAUCGGUAUGUUUUGUUCAUAUGUAAUGUUUGAAUGACACUCUGUGGAUGCCUUUGUUUCAACCAGCUCUGAAAUAGGUGUCUGGUGUUGUGAGAGUUAUUUGAGUUAAGCUGAUCCAUCACUGUUCUCAGCGAUGUUUAACUGAUAUUCGUGUGUGUAUCUGCAUGUGUAAUUUAUUUACAUUAUGCCUGCCUGAUGUAACAGGGAGUUCUCUCAUAUUCUGUUAUUCUCUUCUAAACUGCAUAAGGAGGUGUUGUGGCUUAUAAAAUGCCAUAAAUAAUGGUAUGUAGAUUAUUAAAAUUUAGAUUAGUUGAUAGCUGGUAGAUUGAGUGCGCUAUGAUUCAUCGAGUUUACCUUACAUGACCAGACAACCUUGAAUUCAGUUUUUUUCAACCACAUCAAAAGAUUUUCUCAAUUGCUAAAGAGUUUAUGGGCAUUCCUUUGUGGUAUCAGCUGUUGCUUCAUUCAACAGUUGUAUGGGUAAAAGUUGUGGAGGCAUACGCUUGAAAAUUUGUGUAAGUAAAUUGUCAAGGAUAAGUUUGAACUGCUUAUUUUACUCUCCAUGAGCUACUUGUACCAUCCUACCAUUCUUCUAUUAAAGAUCACAAUAGCUUUUUACUCUGGGAUGGGCAUAGCAGUUAUUGGAGUAGCAAACAUGCAACCUCAUUGACACUUAUUUUUCUGAAUCACCAGAGCUUGUACUGCUAUUGCAAGUGGCACAAAUUUCAAAUCAUCAUUAUUCUCCCAUGCAACCAGCCAUCUUGACUUCCCUUCUUUUCUCAAUAAGUGCUCCAUGGCUUCAUCGUAGUGGUCGCUUCUUUCUCCAAUUCCAAUAGGGAAACCUCUUGUUUUGGGCUGAAACCAAUUGAUUCCUGCAAUUGAACACUUUUUGGGAACGCUAACCAAAUUUUCUAAGUGUAUGACAAAUGGUAAAAAUUGGAUUAAAUCCUGAUAUUUAUCCUUUGGUGAUAGUUUUAUAUGAACAUUUGUGUAUAUCUUACUUCUUAGAAAGAAAUAACCUGCUUACUCGUUAGUUUCCAAGCUAGCUUUAUACAAGUGUCGUUUGUAUGCAGAUGUGAUCAAUAAUGAUAUCAUAGGCACCUAAGCGCUUGUUUUCAUCCGCAUCCCUGCUGAUAGUUUGAUUGUUAUCAAUAGCUGUUUCUAAAGUAUGUUUAAUGACAUUAAAUGUUCAAAUCACUGGCAUUGAGGGCAUAAUUAUUGAAUGUAGUGCAGUUAUUAGUGACGCUUUACUGUGAUGUGUUUAGGAUCUAGAGUCAUACAUCUAUUGCACAUUACUUUUACUGUGAUUGCUUUGUUCAAAUCAGCUGCAAAGAGUAGAGAGCCAAUCUGUUCCCCAGCACAAUGCAUUUUGUCGACCACAUCACCAUCCACAUCCAUUGCAGUGCUUGAUCUGGAGAAGCUGAGAUUACCUUCUUUUGAAGCUCAUUUAGUUUCAUUUACUGCAAUCAGUACAUGGACGUACGCAGGAGCAAUUGGUCCUCCCAAAGAGGCAACCUUUGGAUCGACUCUAGCUACAGAAACACUUAUUACAAGUGAUGAGGCUGUAAUUGCUGCAGCUGCUGCUGAAGCAGUUGCUCUUGCAAGAGCUGCUGUCAAGUGUGCAAAGGAUGCAGCCCUUCUGGUUAAAAGUUUCCCUUGUGCAGAAACUGAAAGUAAACUUGCAACUCUUCCAUCCACAGCUGAUGCCUUUUCACCUAGAUGGCCUCAGUUUACAGAAACAGAACGAGCUUGUAUUCUAGGAGAUUCUGUGGCAGCUGAAACUGGACAAAGAGAAGAAUAUUCCAUGCAAUAUCCCAUCAAAGAAUCCGAUGAUUUAGAGCCAACUCAUGAAGAGAUUGAACUUUUGCAGAAACAACUUUCAGAGGGCAUUGCUGUGAGAUCAAGGCGCCAAACAGAAAGAAAAACCAGACGCACAAGAGCAGCUGAAAAGACUGCUGCAAAUGUCAUGCCUGUGAAGUCUAGUUCUACCAGCAAGAAAAAGCGUGCUUCUUUGCAGGAUGUGGACUACUCUGAUCCAUUACAUUACUUGAGAGGAACGGCAAGCACUUCCAGGCUUCUAACUGCUUCUGAAGAAUUGGAAUUGUCUGAAGGAAUACAGGUGUGAUUACAAAGGUUGUGAUAUGCAUGAUAAACUCAUCCCUACAAUUGGUUUUCUUCCAAUGGUUUAAGGACUAUGUUACACCUAACCACAAGUAGCUGAUAUUAGCUAAAGGUUAAGCUGUUGGUAUAAAUGAAUUCUGUAAAAUUUUUUGAAUUUCAUUUGCAAAUCCACACUCAUCAUGUUAGGUAUGCAUAAAAAAAAUCACAUUCUACAUUUUCAGCUCUAUGGAAUUGCUCAAGCUUGAACCAAACUCUACCAAACUUGAUAGAACUUGCAAAUGAAUUUUAAAUUAAUUAGGCUAUAAUUUUAAAAUGUCUUCUAUAGUUAAUAUAUAAGGAACAUGAGAAUUCACUUAUAGAUGAACUCUUUUUAUGGAACUCUUUUUCAAAUCAAAUGAAUUACUUAUUAAUUUAUCCAAACACAAUGAAAAAUUUUCAUUGUCCUUACAAACAUUAUAUGCACGACAGGAGGAUAUUGAUUUACCUUAAUGCUUCUUUAGACAGGCAAUUUGUGAAAGUUAAUGAUGUUUGCACACUUAAGCUGCAUAUAACUGGGAAACCUUUAUUGUUUUAAUUUGUUUUUUCCCUUUUUUAUGGAAGGCUUCAUAAUUUUCCUUUUUAUUUGGAAGAUUAAUAUUAGUUUCAUUGGUAUUUUAUUUUCCAUUUAAUAUUCUCAGAUUUCUAAUAUCUCCUCAUGUCUUAUUGUAAUUCAGGACCUACUGAAACUUGAACGGCUCCAGGAGGAGCUUGCAGAGCGGUGUGGAGGUGAGCCCACCUUUGCACAGUGGGCUGCUGCUGCAGGGGUAGAUCUGAAAACUUUAAGGAAGCGCUUAAACCAUGGUAUAUUUUGCAAAGACAAAAUGAUCAAGUCCAACAUACGGCUUGUUAUUUCAAUUGCAAAAAAUUAUCAGGGAGCUGGGAUGAAUCUCCAAGAUCUUGUUCAGGAAGGAUGCCGGGGUCUUGUAAGGGGUGCAGAGAAGUUUGAUGCUUCAAAAGGUUUCAAAUUCUCAACUUAUGCUCAUUGGUGGAUUAAGCUGGCAGUCCGCAAGUCUCUCUCUGAUCAAUCAAGGACAAUACGCCUGCCAGUAAGUUCUUUAAUAUCCCCUUUUUUUUCUCUGACAGCACUAAACUUAAUUGUCUUCUGCUAUUGUCAUGUAAAAAUGAAGUGUUGUGUUUUUUGCCAGUAACAUCGUGUUUAAUGAAGUUAUUGUUAUGCUAAAUGCAUGAUGCUUCAUGUCUAAAUGCUUUGGAUUUACAGUUUCAUAUGGUGCAAGCAACUUACAGAGUGAAGGAGGCUAGAAAGCAAUUGUAUAGUGAAAAUGGAAGACAUCCUAGUGAUGAAGAAAUUGCAGAGGCAGCUGGGCUUUCAAUGAAAAGGCUUAGUGCUGUACUACUCACUCCAAAAGCUCCAAGGUCUCUUGACCAGAAGAUUGGGCUUAACAUGGAUCUUAAACCUUCGGAAGUAAUUGCACAUCCUGAUGCAGAAACAGCAGAAGAUCUGCUAAUGAAGCAAUUUAUGAAGAAGGACUUGGAGAAGGUGCUGGACAGUCUCAGUCCAAGGGAGAAUCAAGUCAUCAGAUGGAGAUUUGGAUUGGAGGAUGGAAGGAUCAAAACAUUACAAGAGAUAGGGGAGAUGUUGGGUGUGUGCAGGGAGAGAAUACGGCAAAUUGAGUCGAGCGCAUUUCGAAAACUGAAGAAUAAGAAGAGGACCAAACAAUUGAAGCAGUAUUUAGUUUAGUGAAAUAGGAACUACAGUGCUGAAGCUCCAGGUAGCUUGCCUGAGGCUCUUGUGUAUUUAUUUCUUCAUUUUUCUUUUUCCAGCAAUUGAAGUGUCUAUUCUGUAUUCUUCUUCAGAAUUUUAGAGAAGAAUAGUUGUGCAUAGGAACAAAAUUUUUGACUUAAGCAUUUUUCCCAUUUUCUCAAGUACCAAAGCAAUUGAAUUGAGCAUUGUCAAGGAUUAACUUCAGUUAGUUUCUGAAAGUAGCAGUCUUCCAAAAUCCCUCCACUUCCAUUUUUCGAAUCACAUGCAUUAAACACA